rnacentral:rRNA from 1 species
GGGGAAUUUUCCGCAAUGGGCGCAAGCCUGACGGAGCAACGCCGCGUGAGGGAUGAAGGCCUCUGGGCUGUAAACCUCUUUUCUCAAGGAAGAAGAUCUGACGGUACUUGAGGAAUAAGCCACGGCUAAUUCCGUGCCAGCAGCCGCGGUAAUACGGGAGUGGCAAGCGUUAUCCGGAAUUAUUGGGCGUAAAGCGUCCGCAGGCGGCCUUGAAAGUCUGUUGUUAAAGCGUGGAGCUUAACUCCAUUUCAGCAAUGGAAACUACAAGGCUAGAGUGUGGUAGGGGCAGAGGGAAUUCCCGGUGUAGCGGUGAAAUGCGUAGGUAUCGGGAAGAACACCAGUGGCGAAGGCGCUCUGCUGGGCCAUAACUGACGCUCAUGGACGAAAGCCAGGGGAGCGAAAGGGAUUAGAUACCCCAGUAGUC